rnacentral:rRNA from 1 species
GACGAACGCUGGCGGCGUGCCUAACACAUGCAAGUCGAACGAAGUGGCGAACGGGUGAGUAAUACGGGGGAAACCUGCCCUCGUUUGUGGGAUAAGCCUUGGAAACGGGGUCAAAUACCGAAUAGAGGGGGAUGGGCUCGCGGCCUAUCAGCUUGUUGGUGGGGGGAUUGCCGACCAAGGAGUUGACGGGUAGCCGGCCUGAGAGGGUGACCGGCCACAGUGAGACUGGGCUGCGGCCCAGACUCCUACGGGGGGCAGCAGUGGGGGAUAUUGCACAAUGGGCGAAGGCGUGAUGCAGCGACGCCGCGUGGGGGAUGAAGGCUUUCGGGUUGUAAACCUCUUUCGCUAUCGAACCGGUAGGUGGAGAAGAAGCGCCGGCUAACUACGUGCCAGCAGCCGCGGUAAUUC